CCAACGCGUUAAGUGUUUCCGCCUGGGGAGUACGCACGCAAGUGUGAAACUCAAAGGAAUUGACGGGGGCCCCGCAACAAGCGGUGGAGUAUGUGGUUUAAUUCGAUGCAACGCGAAGAACCUUACCAGGGUUUGACAUCCUGCGAAUUCCUUGGAAACUUGGAAGUGCCUUCGGGAGCGCAGUGACAGGUGGUGCAUGGCUGUCGUCAGCUCGUGUCGUGAGAUGUUGGGUUAAGUCCCGCAACGAGCGCAACCCACGUCUUUAGUUGCCAGCAUUAAGUUGGGCACUCUAGAGAGACCGCCGGUGAUAAACCGGAGGAAGGUGUGGAUGACGUCAAGUCAUCAUGCCCCUUACAUCCUGGGCUACACACGUACUACAAUGCUACGGACAAAGGGCAGCAAACUCGCGAGAGCUAGCAAAUCCCAUAAACCGUGGCUCAGUUCAGAUCGUAGGCUGCAACUCGCCUACGUGAAGGAGGAAUCGCUAGUAAUCGCAGGUCAGCAUACUGCGG
rnacentral:rRNA from 1 species